GAUGAACGCUGGCGGCGUGCCUAAUACAUGCAAGUCGAGCGAACAGAUGAGGAGCUUGCUCCUCUGACGUUAGCGGCGGACGGGUGAGUAACACGUGGAUAACCUACCUAUAAGACUGGGAUAACUUCGGGAAACCGGAGCUAAUACCGGAUAAUAUAUUGAACCGCAUGGUUCAAUAGUGAAAGACGGUUUUGCUGUCACUUAUAGAUGGAUCCGCGCCGCAUUAGCUAGUUGGUAAGGUAACGGCUUACCAAGGCAACGAUGCGUAGCCGACCUGAGAGAGUGAUCGGCCACACUGGAACUGAGACACGGUCCAGACUCCUACGGGAGGCAGCAGUAGGGAAUCUUCCGCAAUGGGCGAAGGCCUGACGGAGCAACGCCGCGUGAGUGAUGAAGGUCUUCGGAUCGUAAAACUCUGUUAUUAGGGAAGAACAAAUGUGUAAGUAACUAUGCACGUCUUGACGGUACCUAAUCAGAAAGCCACGGCUAACUACGUG
rnacentral:rRNA from 1 species